CAGAAGGCACAAUUUUGGCAGCUGGUUAUUUCUCUGUUGGUCUGUGCUUGUUUUCUAAUACUACUGACAUCCAAAUAGUGUUGCUUGUGUUUACUGUUGAUUUUCGGUUGGUUUGGAAAUUCCUGGUUUUUCUGCUUGGUUGUAAUCUCCUGGGUUUUACUGAUAUUCCUGCUUUUACUGGGCUACUCUCGUGUAGUUGAACUGUUGUUGCUGUGUGUGCUGCUAUUGCUUCCUACUAAUCUUCCUCUUCUUUGUAUUCCAAUACCAGGUACACCACUUUGAAUCACUUUGAUGCACGCCUUGUAGAUGAAAUGAAAUGGC
rnacentral:lncRNA from 1 species